rnacentral:tRNA from 2 species
GCUUCCAUAGCUCAGUCGGUAGAGCGCAUCCAUGGUAAGGAUGAGGUCACCAGUUCGAUUCUGGUUGGAAGCUCCA